UUUCCUUAAAGGGAGUAACUGGUAUAGUUUGGAGAGUUAGGAGUUUAUGGCACUCCCUCUCUCAAGUCAAGAAUGCAUGUCUUUGAGAAUCAUCAAGCAACAUAGGAUGUACUUCCAAGAGGAGAUUUCCUGAGCUGUGGAUCUCACCAGACCUGCAUUGGAUUAAGCAGUGCAUGGCCAGGAGCUCAUGGAAGAUGGCAGGACCAAUCAAAUCCGAACCCGCUAAAGGAGGCUGAUUUGAAUGGAAGAGAGAGCCACAUUUAUACACAAAGCAUCUGAGUGAGUGGCAGCAGGAUUUCAGCCAAUGACCCCGGCCGGGUCCCACUCCCUACACUGAUGAUGGACUUCACUGUGAACAGCAUACUUGUAGGGGUGGGGGAUGGUGGUGUAACGAGUAAUUCCCUCUCAUAAGGAGGCCAGAGACCCACUGACAAACAUGAAGCUCUGGUUCAGAUCCAUUGAGACAAAAAAAAUAAAAAUAAAAAUAACCCGGACCGCUUGAGUGAAUAGUCAGGAACUAUACAAGAUUUGUGUUUUUGAAAAAUUCUCCACGUCAGUGUACAGUGGAAUGAGGAAAUGCCAUUGUGGGGGGAGGGUAAGGAGACAUAGAUGCCUUUCUGUAAAAUUAAUUAACAAAUUAGUGGUUGACGUAACAUUCUCUCCGUUGAUUCUCUUGUCUCCGGGACGAAGCGCACACUCUGCCGCUGACUGCGCCUUUUGACUCAUCAGUAUCACUCACAUCAUCUGUUGCCUCCUGUCUAGCUUUUUUUUUAGUCUCAGAUGAAACAACUUGUGCCUCUUCUUUCAGCUUGGUUUCCUUGUUUGUUGAUGCAAUGGGAACCAACCAUCUGCCUAAUCAUUUAAAGAAAAUUUUUUAAUCAGGCUUUUUGGGUGAUUUAAUCCAAAACUCACACUUUUCCCCCAUUUUCAAAAAAAAUGAAUCUUACUCGUGAGGACAAAACAUCAAACCACAGUUCGCUCCAAAUUGUUCUCGAUGUUAUAUUUUUAACAGAAUCCCAGGCAUACAUAAUAUUAAAAAUUACAUCCCUGAUGCUAUUGUGAGAUUAAAAGUCUGGCAUGGUGCCUGGAUAAUGGAUCAUAUGAUUAUAUUGCUUACAAAACCUCUUCUGCAAUAUUUCAGUUUCUAAGUAACACCCUCAACCAUGGACUAAAUCAAUGGGGAAAUACUAACAGCCAGAAAAGAAAUAAUGGAACCCACCCUAAGAAAGCAUCAACAGGAUAGCUUUAUUUUUAUUGCGUGAGCUUUUGAUUCUGUGGCGCAACCA
rnacentral:lncRNA from 10 species